rnacentral:lncRNA from 1 species
AAACUAUUCAUCUUGUUAUCAAUGCAUGUUAUCUAGUCUAACUAUAAAUCACGUUUUAUUAAUUGAUAUGUUUUUAACAAAUAAGUUUUUAAUGUAAUAUAUUCCUUCAGACAAAAACAUUUUGCUAUCUCCUAUUGCUCUUCUUCUCAAAAACAUAUAAGACUACCAAGCAAAUAUAUUAAUUGAGAGUAUGUACAGUCUAAAUCUCUGUUCUCUUGCAAAAGUAUAAACACAUUUGACUUUGCAUCCAUUUACACUAGUAAAUCCAAUUGUAAACUUAACGACAGGUUGGUUGACAAAAAAUAGUCCUACAUUGUGUUGCCAAAUUGGCUGAUGUAGAUUAUUUUGUUUAAAGAAAGGGAUAAAUCGUACUUUGUAAAUAAACACUGGUUCAAACAUAAAGUUCUCAAAGACUGACGUCAUCAAGAUA